rnacentral:misc_RNA from 1 species
GAUGAAGAACGUAGCGAAAUGCGAUACGUAAUGUGAAUUGCAGAAUUCAGUGAAUCAUCGAAUCUUUGAACGCAUAUUGCGCUCUUUGGUAUUCCGAAGAGCAUGCUUGUUUGAGUAUCAGUAAACACCUCAAAACUUUUUUUUUUUUAAAAAAACAGUUUUGGACUUGAGCAAUCCCACCACAAACCUUUUUUAGAUCGGUGGCGGGUUGCUUGAAAUGCAGGUGCAGCUGGACAUUCUCCUGAGCUAAAAGCAUAUUUAUUUAGUCCCGUCAAACGGAUUAUUACUUUUGCUGCAGCUAAUAUAAAGGGAGUUUGACCGUUUUGGCUGACUGAUGCAGGAUUUCACAAGGGUCGGCAACGAUUCUUGUAAAACUCGAUCUCAAAUCAAGUAAGACUACCCGCUGAACUUAAGCAUAUCAAUAAGCGGAGGA